GAUCAUGGCUCAGGACGAACGCUGGCGGCGUGCUUAACACAUGCAAGUCGAACGGAGCACCCUUGACUGAGGUUUCGGCCAAAUGAUAAGAAUGCUUAGUGGCGGACUGGUGAGUAACGCGUGAGGAACCUGCCUUUCAGAGGGGGACAACAGUUGGAAACGACUGCUAAUACCGCAUGAUGCGUAACUGGGACAUCCCGGAUACGCCAAAGAUUUUAUCGCUGAAAGAUGG
rnacentral:rRNA from 1 species